GAUGAACGCUAGCGGCAGGCCUAAUACAUGCAAGUCGAACGGUGUAGCAAUACACAGUGGCGCACGGGUGCGUAACACGUAUGCAACCUACCUAUUAUUGGGGGAUAGCCUUUGGAAACGGAGAUUAAUACCGCAUAAGACAGUGAGAUGGCAUCAUCUAGCUGUUAAAGCUUUGGCGAUAAUAGAUGGGCAUGCGUCCAAUUAGUUAGUUGGUGAGGUAAUGGCUCACCAAGACGAUGAUUGGUAGGGGAUCUGAGAGGAUAAUCCCCCACACUGGCACUGAGAUACGGGCCAGACUCCUACGGGAGGCAGCAGUAGGGAAUAUUGGGCAAUGGACGGAAGUCUGACCCAGCCAUGCCGCGUGCAGGAAGAAGGCGUUAUGCGUUGUAAACUGCUUUUUUAUAGGAAGAAGAAGCCCUUGCGAGGGAAAGUGACGGUACUAUAAGAAUAAGCACCGGCUAACUCCGUGCCAGCAGCCGCCGUAAUAC
rnacentral:rRNA from 1 species